UACCAGCUCUCCGAGUGGUAGGGAUGUUUAUUGGGCUUAAAGCGUCCGUGGCCGGCUUAGCAAGUCUCCUGUUAAAUUCAGCGACCUAAUCGUUGAGCCGCGGGAGAUACUACUAGGCUAGGAGGCGGGAGAGGUCAACGGUACUUCCGGGGUAGGGGUGAAAUCCUAUAAUCCCGGGAGGACCACCAGUGGCGAAGGCUGUUGACUAGAACGCGCUCGACGGUGAGGGACGAAAGCUGGGGGAGCGAACCGGAUUAGAUACCCGGGUAGUCCCAGCUGUAAACGAUGCGAGCUAGGUGUUGGGGUGGCUACGUGCCACUUCAGUGCCGCAGGGAAGCCAUUAAGCUCGCCGCCUGGGGAGUACGGCCGCAAGGCUGAAACUUAAAGGAAUUGGCGGGGGAGCACCACAAGGCGUGAAGCUUGCGGUUC
rnacentral:rRNA from 1 species